AAGGAGGCAAGGUGAUAUUUGCUGUUCUGGGACCCUUCAGCUGUCAGGCUUGUACUUUCUCAAGAGUGAGGACUUUGAAGGGACAAGUCUAAAAUCCCCACUGAUUGAAAUGCCGCUCUUCUUGACCAUCAGCAAGAAGUCACCAGAUGCAGCCCUUCAACCUUCGACUCCAGAACCAUAA